CACCAGCAGAAUCAAGAGUCAGGAAGUGAGCAAACCCAGAGGGGUGGAGGCAAGGCCUCCAGUGUGCUCUCCCCUCCUCCCCCAAGAAUCUGAGCAAUGUUUGAUGAGGACGCGUGGCACAGCCCCUCAGCUGCCCCCAGGAACUCCUAAAAAAAAUGGCAGAAGAGACCGAAAAUGACUUAGCCCGCGCUGUGAACGGUGAGCGACACACCGUGGGCCUGAGCAGCCGUCUACCAUGCCCACGUCAGAAAUUUCUGGACUAUCUCGGCCAGAUACUUACUGAGCACGUGUACGUGUUCUCAGUCUCCGUGCUGGGUCCUGAGCAUGUCAACACGAAUGCUUUGGUUCCUGUCCUCAGGACGCUCCCCAUCCAGUUGGACUGAUCACUGACCAGGAUACAAGUACUCACAGAGGGAAGGCACGAAGCCAGCCUGGAGGGAAAUAAAGAAGGUUUAACUCCUAAAGAAGGAGAUAAUGGAGCCGAUUUGCCGUGGGUGAGCAGUUUGAGGUUGGCCAGAGCAAGGCUUGAGCCUAGCUAUACUGAGAGAUGAUGCCAUCUAGGAAGACACAAGCAAAGUGGCUUCUGCAAGAACUUGGUUGCAAAGAAUGAGUACUCGAUCCCAUAGGCAAUGGGAGCCA